rnacentral:tRNA from 1 species
UCCCAAUGGCUUAGUGGUAAAGAAUCUGCCUGCAAUGCAGGAGAACCAGGAGACACGGGUUCGAUCCCUGAGUUGGGAA